GUGAGGAAUAUUGGACAAUGGGCGCAAGCCUGAUCCAGCCAUGCCGCGUGCAGGAAGACGCAUAUAUGGUGUGUAAACUGCUUUUGUACGGGAAGAAACACUCCCUCGUGAGGGAGCUUGACGGUACCGUAAGAAUAAGGAUCGGCUAACUCCGUGCCAGCAGCCGCGGUAAUACGGAGGAUCCAAGCGUUAUCCGGAAUCAUUGGGUUUAACGGGUCCGUAGGCGGUUUAAUAAGUCAGUGGUGAAAGCCCAUCGCUCAACGAUGGAACGGCCAUUGAUACUGUUAGACUUGAAUUACAAGGAAGUAACUAGAAUAUGUAGUGUAGCGGUUAAAUGCUUAGAUAUUACAUGGAAUACCAAUUGCGAAGGCAGGUUACUACUUGUGGAUUGACGCUGAUGGACGAAAGCGUGGGGAGCGAACAGGAUUAGAAACCCGUGUAGUCC
rnacentral:rRNA from 1 species